UAUGUUUACAGAGGAAACAGUUAAGAUAGUAUUCUGAACAAAAGUGGAAUUCAUACGUAACUGGGAAUGUUACAUAAGGGCACUUUGAUGUAGGUCUGCCGGUGCAGGUUUCAGUGACUGCAGACAGAUAAGAACCUGGUGCAAGCACUCAGACAGCCAGGUUACAAAGAUAGAAAGAGGACGAAAGGAAAGCCAUUUUGGAGGGACUGGGGCACUUAGCUGGGAGGGAACGUUUUUGAAAGAGCCCACUGAGAGAUCCUUGCCUUUAGAUUCACAUGUUGGAGAGGAUUUCGACUGAAAACACCAGGAAAUUGAGGGGAGACGAAACCAAAACACCUCUGGCCAGAAGAGCACAAGGAAGAAGAAUCAGGGAAAGUUGGACCAGGAUUCAAACACUUGUGAUUGUGGGCCUGACAACCAAGCAGGAAGUGGUUUACUGACGUUGGACUUUAUUAACAAGUCAACUGUGACUGUUUGACACAGGACCAACAGCCAGCUGAGAGAGGAUCUCCAGGAAGAACCAUCAGACUCCACAAGUAAACUUUUGAGUGUCAGCCAUGGCAGAGGAGGAAAAGUUGUCUUUCACCAAGGCCAUUGAGGAUGCCGGCGCCUCCAUCACUCGCUUCCCCCUAAUCCCGGUCAGGGGUGUUCCUCUCAUGAGCCACAUCGCCAACAACUUAGAUUCUGUCUGGGCUUUCCGCCCGGACCCCUCAGACCUUCUCAUCGCCACCUACCCCAAAGCAGGGACAACGUGGACCCAGGAGAUAGUUGACCUGCUUCUUCACAACGGAGAUGCUGAGGCGUGCAAACGAGCACCCACACCCGUCCGCAGUCCCUUCCUAGAGAUCAGCUCCCCACCACCCAUUCCCUCAGGUCUUGAUCUUCUGAAGGAAAUGGAUCCCCCAAGAAUUAUCAAGACACAUCUUCCUUUUCAGUUGGUGCCGUCUGGAUUUUGGGAAAGCAAGUGCAAAGUUAUCUACGUGGCACGCAAUGCCAAAGACAAUCUGGUGAGCUACUACUACUUUGAUUCUAUGAAUCUGACCCAGCCUGAGCCAGGGCCCUGGGAAGGCUACAUCCACAAGUUCAUGCAAGGAGAGUUGUCUUGGGGCUCCUGGUAUGACCAUGUGAAAGGAUACUGGGUGGAAAGAGAGAAGAAGAAUAUCCUUUACCUCUUCUAUGAGGACAUGAAAGAGAAUCCUCAGCGUGAAGUCGAGCGCAUCAUGAGGUACCUGGACUUGUCGGUCUCUGAUGAGGUCAUCAGUCGAAUUGUGGAUCUCACGUCCUUUAAGACCAUGAAGGAGAACCCGAUGACCAACUACUCCUGCAUUCCAGCGCCUGUUUUUGAUCAGUCCAUCUCUCCCUUCAUGAGAAAAGGUGCAUCAGUCUCCACUCAGUCUAGAAAAAAAAUUUCUUAAUAACAUAAUCCAAAAUGUACAAGAAAAGGCAAAAAUCCUCCCAAAGUUUCAAAAUGUUCACUCGCCCACCAAGACUCACUUCUGUGGGAUUGUACCAUGACUAAUUGACUCCUCCUUGUAUAGUCCAAUAGCGCCCCCUGGUGACAACUGUAUUCUUUACCUUUGCUUUACUUAUUUAUUUUUCAGAACAAAACUUAAAUCAGUAAACAUAUAAUUAAUCUGCAACUAUUUUGAUAAUCAGCUAAUUGCCUUCUCAAAUGUGAAGAUCUGCUCUUUUCCUUCAUCUUGAGGGACACUAAUUUGACUUCCUUAAAAUUUUGAACAAUUUUCUAGCUUUUGGACUGUACAAAGUGGCGUUUUUCACUGUUUUCUGACAUUUUAUAAACUAAACAAUUAAUCAAUUAAUUGAGAAAAUAACUUGUAGAAUAAUGGCUAAAGAUAAUAAUCGUUACUUGAAGGCCUCAUGUUCAACAACAGAUCAUUUUAGUGAAAAUACUGUGAGAAUUUACUUCUCAGUUAUUUAGAAAUUACAACAUGAAUAGUUAAUGAUUUAUAUUACUAACACCAUCAUAUUCCCUCUGUAAUUUUGUUUCUUUGCAGGUGAAGUGGGUGAUUGGACAAACCAUUUCACACCCGAACAAUCAAAGAUGUUUGAUGAAGAUUA